GUAGUGAGAUCAGGGUUACUUCGCCUCAAACGCGUGUGGUUGUCGGUUCGAGUCCGACCCGCUCCA
rnacentral:tRNA from 1 species